GACAACAUAAUAAACAUAAUAUCAAAAUUACAAUAAUUUAGAGUUUAGAUAUCUAUAAUUCAAUUUUAACCAUUCCUUACACGUCUAUAGAAAAAGAACUCUACCAUCUUCUUGAAAACUCAACUCUCUUCCUGAUUAUUGGUUAAAGCUGGUGUACGUAGAUUUACACAAUCACGAUUUACCCAUUUUGGAUGUUGUCCUUUUCUUUUCAUUUUUAUUGGAAUAAAAACCUUUUUAUAUUUGGUCAUUAUCCAUCCUUUAGCAUGUUUUUCUGUUGUUUAGAUGUUUGACAGAGAUUUUGUCUGAGUAAUUGUUUGUUUGUGGUGGAAGAGGUUUCUCGGUGGGAUCUCGGGAUCUCUGGUCAAUGCUAACGGAUGCUUUGAUGAAGAAAAUGUCGGAUCUGGUAGAUCUACAGAGCAGUUUACAUGCAAAUGACAUCUUCUCCAUUUUUACUUAGAUUCUAUUCAUAUUCAUUUUAGAGUAAAAAAUCAUCAACUCACUCCAAGUUGUAGGAUCUUUGCUUGAUCUUUAUCCUUCCUUUUGCUCUGGUCAGGUGUGUUUAUGGCUUCAGAAGACUGAAUAUGAGGCAUCCUUGUUUGGUUUCAGCGUAUGUCUUCUUUUCUCUUGUUUCUAGCAAUGGUGUAAGCGAUGUGGGUUAGUGGUGUGGUGGUGUGUGUGGAGCAUAACAAAUAUAACAUCUUUGAAAAGUUUUAAGUUGCUUGUCCCGCUCUAGAAAGGAGUUUUUCUCGCGGUCUUUGAAUAAGUGUGGUUUCUGGUCUAUCUUCUGCUCUCACAUUUUUCGGAGGCUUCAGUUUGUUGAAUAAAUAUAAAGAAAUUGAGAGUUUGAGUUUUCCAAUGAUGGUUUGUUUAAGGAAAGGGUUUGGUUCCAAGUAUAUACUUUUCUUCUAUGUUUGGUGUAUGAUGUUAUUCUUAUUGGUUAUGGUUUGUUACUGUGAACUAAAGUUCAUGUAAGUUCCAUUUUGUUUUGCUCUUAUGGCCAGUGCAUUGCUUGCCAAUCGAAGUUCCACAUUGGAAGUUAGACAAAAGAAGGUAGAGAAGUCUAACUCUAGUUAGUACGUGGGCUUCUGAGAAAGAAACCAAAAGUAAAUCCAUGCGGUUUAUCUCUAAGAUUUAAAAUAGAUAAUAUCAUACUAAUCCAAUAAUAAAGAAUUGGACACAAGCUAAAUAAAUCCCAACAAUUGGUAUCAGAGUGGUUGAUGAGAAAUAUGCAAGAAAACCAAAAUAACUUUCAAGAUAUGAAUGGGAUGAAUGAGAAGUAUGUGGCAAAGAUCAAGUCAAAAGAUCCUGGAAAUUCAGUUGUGGGAGAGUCAUCUUUAAUUCGAUGGAGGAAAAAACACGAGAUAAAUAUGAUCCUUAGUUUGAGUAGGAGAAUGAGAGAUGUCAAUCUAAAUCCCACAUUGGAAGUUAGACAAAAGAAAGUAUCUAUUACUAUAAAAUAGGGUUGUUUCCCUCCUUUCGACACGUCAGAUGUCAUGUCACUAAUUCAUUUAUCCUGAAGUCGCCAUGUGUCCAUCUCCUCUAUAUGCACCGUAUCAUUUAAUUGAUUGCAUCGUGGGCUUUUUUUAAUGUGUGAUUUGGUUUUCAAGUUGUGAGAUUAUCCGGCCCGGAAACAAAAAACGAUGUCCCUCUAACCCUAAGACGGCGUAAGCGAAAAUACAAAGUUCGUUCUCCUCUUCGUGCGGCGGUAGGCGGUGACGCUAACCCUUCUCCUCAUGACUGAAACGGUCUGCUUUAUGGAUUCGUCUUAAAUCCUAUUGUUUUGCUCUCACAUGAUGUGUCUUCCAAGCGUCGUUUAGAUCUGAGAGGCGGUGUAUGUUCAGUAUAAAUAUAUGUGUAUCUUUCUCAAACAUAGAAGAGACAUUAACCUCUGCAUUUUCUCAGCACCAGCUUUAGUCCGGCAUUUAUUCACGCAUCUGCGUUUACACAUGAACAAAAUUGUUUAUCUUUUUUACUUUAGUCAGUUCAUAAUGAUCAUCUUUUUCUAAAACACGUGGGGCCAUGUGCAGGAUAGAACGUUAUAUGUGGAGCUUCAUUUGUUCGAAGCUGCCAAAGAAGGAGGAUGGUUCGGACACCACUGUUUAUAUACGGUUUACUUUCUUUCUACACUGCAAUACUCCUGUCUUCUACCUCGACAAUGAGUCUGACCUCAAGACCUAUCCCAAAAUUGGCCAAGCUGCGUUUGAUGCCACCAGACGUAUCUUUUUCGUUAAGGGGCUAUUUUUUUCAAAAGAUUAUAAAUCUAUCUUCAUAGUGAAGGUUGUAAAAGUUAGGAAACAUAGUAUGGUUAGUCUUUUGGAUUUUGAACAAAUGGAACAACUAAAAAGCUAAAGGCAUCAAGUAGAUCAGUCAGUCAAUCUCUUUCAGAAGUAUGUGAAAUUAUAUUCUAGUUACAAAUGAAUGAGAUGCUAUUCUUAAGUGAUUAA